rnacentral:lncRNA from 1 species
GGAGCCUCGCUCGGGGGGGGGGGGGGGGGGGAUGGGCAGAGGCACACAAAGCAAGGGUUCUUCAGAGAAGGCAGAGGAUUCAAGCCAAGUUGUUGCCAAGUCUCAAGAAUAACACACAAUUGAACUUCAACGACCCCGGACAGGUCACGCCGGCUAACUCAGUCUACCGCCUGGUCCCCGACUGCACUGACUACGCCAAGAGGGAAACAAACAGACACACCACGCCAACCACCACACGCAGAGAUGGGAUUUCCUACAGAGGCUGGACGCCAUUGCCAGCAGGAGACAUGGAGGUGAGCCCACGCGCCCGAGCAGGACAGCGCUGGAUCGUCGAGGUAUGAGAAAAUUAGCUCCUUUCCAUGGCUAUUCCUGGGAAUCACCCACUGUUCUUGGC